UUUGUCCUGGAGCAGUAGCCAAUAAAAGAAGAAAAAUUAAGUGUGAACAAAAUUAAGUUAUAUAGCAAAUGAUAGAUAGAAAACAAUGUCUUGCCCAUCCAUGCUGAACCAGUCUUCGCAGCAGUUGGAUGCAUGUUAUUCUUAUCUCUUCGCGCAUUGUCUGUCAUGAUGGUACAGACAAUUGUUUAUACAUGCAAGUUGCAGAAAAUUAUAGAAAUAUUGAACACGGUACACGUACCAGUCAUAUACAGCUCUUGGAUUCCUUGAUCUUGUCUCCAUUUGCCAUUGUCCACUCUCCAACAACCGCACAAUCCCACCCAUACCAAGUAGCCUCAAUGCGUGAGAGACCUGCAUAGGGGUGGCAACGAACGAGCAGCAGUAUAGUUCCUCUUUCACCAAAGAUCAAAUUGGG
rnacentral:lncRNA from 1 species